GAUGGGUCCCAGAGCCCUGGAAGAGGAAGCUGUCCUUCCUCCUCCCAAAACACUGGUCCUGCUUCCAUCCCAUUCCCUGCAGCCUCCUUAGAAACGUGACCUGGCAAAGUGCUUCUGAGAGACAACUACUGAAGAUAAACUUCAUCAGCCAUGGACAGAGGGAUAGAAGAGAGGAGAGGGAACCAACUGCCUGAGAAGCAUUUGAUGAGCCGUGACUUUGAAUUGAUGUCCCUGGGAUUCAUUUGGAGAAGGAGUCUACCCCUGGCACUAUCAGCUUUCUAUACUACAAGGAAGGAAAGAGGGGGAGCCAAGGGCUACUCAGACGCAGGUGGCCAGUAUACCUAGCAAAACAUCUACCUCCUGAAGUGGCCCACUCCCUUUGAAGCGGCCCUGGAUUGUCACACUUCAAAGAAAUCUGAGCUUUAUUUGUCACCUUGGAAGUCAGCUGUAAAGGCAGAAGCUAUCAC
rnacentral:lncRNA from 1 species